rnacentral:rRNA from 1 species
UUUUAUGAGAGUUUGAUCCUGGCUCAGGACGAACGCUGGCGGCGUGCCUAAUACAUGCAAGUCGAACGCUUCUUUUUCCACCGGAGCUUGCUCCACCGGAAAAAGAGGAGUGGCGAACGGGUGAGUAACACGUGGGUAACCUGCCCAUUAGAAGGGGAUAACACUUGGAAACAGGUGCUAAUACCGUAUAAC